CUCUUUUUUUAUUUUUCGUUUUUGCUUGUUGUCUGAAAAAGAGAACAGAGCACUAGAGAGAGGAGAACGAAACGGCUCAAGAGGAGGAGGAGGGGAGAGAGAGAGAACAAUAGAGAGAGGAUCGAGAGUGGAACGACAGAGAGUUCGAGAGCUUGAGAUGAGCUCACAGAUGAGGGGGGCAGAAGAGAACGAGACUUGAUGAAGAGGGGUGAAUAGAACAGGGCCGGUGGAGAGUGUAGCGGGCUGGAAGUAGGAAGCCAUUUGAGGGGAUGAGUUUAUAUUGCAAUUGUUAGAUGAGCUAGGAGCUAGACUAGCAGCACAGGAGAAUCUUUUUGGACAUCGGGGAUCACCAUGAAGGAUUUUGUAGUUAGACACACUCGUAGUAUAAGUAGUAAGUUCAUGUAGAAUACUAUAAAUAUGUUAGGACUUGAAACUUUUGUUUAGUUGGUUUACAAAUGUUAGAGAUAAGAGUACUCUCUUGAGAUGUAUAUAGAUAUUAGAACUUGUUGGAUUGGUUACAUAUAUUUGGAAGUUUAUGGAAAGCAUGCUUAUAUAUGAA